UACGUAGGGGGCUAGCGUUGUCCGGAAUCAUUGGGCGUAAAGAGCGUGUAGGCGGCUCGGUAAGUCCGCUGUGAAAGUCCAGGGCUCAACCCUGGAAUGCCAGUGGAAACUGUCGAGCUAGAGUCCGGAAGAGGCGAGUGGAAUUCCUGGUGUAGCGGGUGAAAUGCGCAGAUAUCAGGAGGAACACCAAUGGCGAAGGCAGCUCGCUGGGACGGUACUGACGCUGAGACGCGAAAGCGUGGGGAGCAAACAGG
rnacentral:rRNA from 1 species